rnacentral:tRNA from 1 species
GGGUUCGUCCGGGAUUUGAACCCGGGACCUCUCACACCCAAAGCGAGAAUCAUACCCCUAGAUCAACGAGAGAGCC